UAUGGGAGAUACAGGAACAACAAGGACCAACUAAGAAUUCAUGACCCUGACCACAUUGUUCCUUUCUGUAGGGAGAGGAUGUGGGAAGUCACAUAGGUAAGCGCACAACACAUAGCACAGACCCUUUCUCAGUGCUCUCAACUUUCCUGUCCUUAACCUUGUCAAGGUGUCCAGACUUUGAAGGAGACACAAGUCAGGGCCUGGUUUGAUCCUCGACUUCAACCAUGCCAUAGCCUCCAACAAUUAAGCAGAGAGAUGAAAAUUUU